GGUAACAUGGGAUCAGAUAGCAGUCCUGAACUUGACUUCUAGAGUUCAUUGAUGACUUUACAAAGAACAGUUUAGAUCACGAGGUUGAUUUUUUUUUCCCUGUAAAAAAAAAAAAAAAACAGAUAUGCAUUUUUAGAAAUUAUUUUGGCUCCUAUAGAGUUAGUGAUCAUGACUGUGCACCAAUAAACACUCCAUUUACAGAAUCACAUAGUGGGUCAGAUUGGCUCACAAGAUAGAGUUCACUGGCAUAUACUAUUCCUAUGCAUGAGACUUAAAGCAUGAUUUGAGUAUGUUCAAAAGAAAGGAAAAAAUGUUGCUAUGUAGGUGUUGAGGUAGCUUGGUAAACAUAUAGGAUGAUGGGAAACAAUUUUACAUUUCUUUGGGAAGAUAUGAUAUCCAGAUGUAGAAGACUUGGACAUAAGAAUGAAGACAUCCUUUUUUACUUAGUAUGUACCAGAGUAGCUGUAAAGUCCAGUAUAGGAUUCAACCAACCCUUCGCUAUACUAGUCUAGGCUUGCUCUCUGAACUAUUGCCCUGUGCAACACGCUCCUACUUAGAAUGACCAAACCAGACCCAGAAAUAAUGUAAGUAGAGAAGAGUGGCAAAGGACACAUUUAAGAUGGCAUUUUCACAGCCAUUUUUAGAAUUGUGCAUCUUAUGAUUUGUGAUUCUUUCUUAAGCAAUGAAUGCUAAGAACUUUGUCCUUUCAAGUCACAGAACAUCAGCUGCCACACUUUCAUGAAUAAUGAAGCCAGUUUGGUGCCUCCACUUGGGCCCAGCACUCGUAAUGGACAUGUUUCCCUCUUCUGUUUUACUUCCUGCCUUACUACUUUUAGUCUAAC
rnacentral:lncRNA from 1 species